rnacentral:rRNA from 1 species
UACGGAAGGUCCGGGCGUUAUCCGGAUUUAUUGGGUUUAAAGGGAGCGUAGGCCGUGGAUUAAGCGUGUUGUGAAAUGCAGGUGCUCAACGUCUGCACUGCAGCGCGAACUGGUCCACUUGAGUGUGCACAACGCAGGCGGAAUUCGUCGUGUAGCGGUGAAAUGCUUAGAUAUGACGAAGAACUCCGAUUGCGAAGGCAGCUUGCGGGAGCACAACUGACGCUGAAGCUCGAAAGUGCGGGUAUCGAACAGG